rnacentral:rRNA from 1 species
GUCCACGCCGUAAACGAUGGGUACUAGGUGCCUGGGGAGCGACCCCUUGGGUGCCGGCGCUAACGCAGGAAGUACCCCGCCUGGGGAGUACGGCCGCAAGGCUGAAACUCAAAGGAAUUGACGGGGCCCGCACAAGCGGUGGAGCAUGUGGUUUAAUUCGACGCAACGCGAAGAACCUUACCUAGGCUUGACAUGCAUGGGAAACUCCUGAGAAACCAGGAGCCUCCUUCGGGAUCCAUGCACAGGUGCUGCAUGGCUGUCGU